AUGAACGCUGGCGGCGUGCCUAAAACAUGCAAGUCGAGCGAACGGACGAGAAGCUUGCUUUUCUGAUGUUAGCGGCGGACGGGUGAGUAACACGUGGAUAACCUACCUAUAAGACUGGGAUAACUUCGGGAAACCGGAGCUAAUACCGGAUAAUAUUUUGAACCGCAUGGUUCAAAAGUGAAAGACGGUCUUGCUGUCACUUAUAGAUGGAUCCGCGCUGCAUUAGCUAGUUGGUAAGGUAACGGCUUACCAAGGCAACGAUGCAUAGCCGACCUGAGAGGGUGAUCGGCCACACUGGAACUGAGACACGGUCCAGACUCCUACGGGAGGCAGCAGUAGGGAAUCUUCCGCAAUGGGCGAAAGCCUGACGGAGCAACGCCGCGUGAGUGAUGAAGGUCUUCGGAUCGUAAAACUCUGUUAUUAGGGAAGAACAUAUGUGUAAGUAACUGUGCACAUCUUGACGGUACCUAAUCAGAAAGCCACGGCUAACUACGUG
rnacentral:rRNA from 1 species